AACGAACGCUGGCGGCAGGCUUAACACAUGCAAGUCGAGCGCCCCGCAAGGGGAGCGGCCGACGGGUGAGUAACGCGUGGGAACGUACCUUUUGGUUCGGAACAACUCCGGGAAACUGGAGCUAAUACCGGAUAAGCCCUAACGGGGAAAGAUUUAUCGCCGAAAGAUCGGCCCGCGUCUGAUUAGCUAGUUGGUGAGGUAACGGCUCACCAAGGCGACGAUCAGUAGCUGGUCUGAGAGGAUGAUCAGCCACACUGGGACUGAGACACGGCCCAGACUCCUACGGGAGGCAGCAGUGGGGAAUAUUGGACAAUGGGCGCAAGCCUGAUCCAGCCAUGCCGCGUGAGUGAUAAAGGCCUUAGGGUUGUAAAGCUCUUUUGUCCGGGAAGAUAAUGACUGUACCGGAAGAAUAAGCCCCGGCUAACUUCGUG
rnacentral:rRNA from 1 species